rnacentral:tRNA from 1 species
GGUAAGAUGGCCGAAAUAGGUAGUGGGUUGUAGCCCCGAGCAUAAAGGUUAGAAUCCUUUUUUUACCA